CUCAAAUGUAGUGGCAUUCUGAGGUGCUGGGAGUUAACCCUUCAACAAAUGAAUUUGAGGAGGAAGAGGACACAGUUCAGCCCAUAGCAGAAAUUACCUGCUUCUUGAAAAUGUGAAAGCUGUAAAGUUGCCCAGCCAUCUCUCCCACCAAGAUCUCCAAAGAUGCCUGCUUAUAAAAGUGUG